UACAGAGGUCUCAAGCGUUGUUCGGAUUCAUUGGGCGUAAAGGGUGCGUAGGCGGCGGUGCAAGUCCGAUGUGAAAUACCGGGGCUCAACCCCGGAACUGCAUUGGAUACUGCAUUGCUAGAGUACUGGAGAGGGAACUGGAAUUUACGGUGUAGCAGUGAAAUGCGUAGAGAUCGUAAGGAAGACCAGUGGCGAAGGCGAGUUCCUGGACAGUUACUGACGCUGAGGCACGAAGGCCAGGGGGAGCAAACGGGG
rnacentral:rRNA from 1 species